rnacentral:rRNA from 1 species
GAUGAACGCUGGCGGCGUGCCUAAUACAUGCAAGUCGAGCGAACAGACGUGCAUUUUGUUCCUCUUUCGUUAGCCUCGGAUGGGUGAGUAAUACGUGGCUCACCUAUCUUUUAGACUCGGCUUACUUCUGGAAACCGGAGCUAAUAUCUGAUUACAUGUUGAACCGCAUGGUUCAACCUUGAAUGACGGUUUUGCUUUUAGUUAUUGAUGGUUCCGUGUCGCAGUAGCUAGUUGGUAAGGUAACGGCUUACUACGGCAACGAUGCGUAGCCGACCUGAGAGGGUGAUGGGCCACACUGGAACUGGGACAGGGUUAAGACUCCGACGGGAGGCAGCAGUAGGGAAUCUGACGCAAUGGGCGAAAGCCUGACGGAGAAACGGCGAGUGAGUGAAGAAGGUCAUCGGAUCGUAAAACUCUGUUAUUAGGGAAGAACAAAUGUGUAAGUAACUAUGAACGUCGUGACGGUACCUAAUCAGAAAGCCACGGCUAACUACGUG